AUUGAACGCUGGCGGCAUGCUUUACACAUGCAAGUCGAACGGUAACAGCACUUCGGUGGCUGACGAGUGGCGAACGGGUGAGUAAUGUAUCGGAACGUGCCCAGUAGUGGGGGAUAACUACUCGAAAGAGUGGCUAAUACCGCAUGAGAUCUCUGGAUGAAAGCGGGGGACCGUAAGGCCUCGCGCUACUGGAGCGGCCGAUAUCAGAUUAGGUAGUUGGUGGGGUAAAGGCCUACCAAGCCUGCGAUCUGUAGCUGGUCUGAGAGGACGACCAGCCACACUGGGACUGAGACACGGCCCAGACUCCUACGGGAGGCAGCAGUGGGGAAUUUUGGACAAUGGGCGCAAGCCUGAUCCAGCAAUGCCGCGUGCAGGACGAAGGCCUUCGGGUUGUAAACUGCUUUUGUACGGAACGAAAAGCCUUCUUCUAAUACAAGAGGGUCAUGACGGUACCGUAAGAAUAAGCACCGGCUAACUACGUGCCAGCAGCCGCCGUAAAAC
rnacentral:rRNA from 1 species